rnacentral:rRNA from 1 species
AUUGAACGCUGGCGGCAGGCCUAACACAUGCAAGUCGAACGAGUGGCGGACGGGUGAGUAAUGUCUGGGAAACUGCCUGAUGGAGGGGGAUAACUACUGGAAACGGUAGCUAAUACCGCAUACCAUCAGAUGUGCCCAGAUGGGAUUAGCUAGUUGGUGGGGUAACGGCUCACCAACGCGACGAUCCCUAGCUGGUCUGAGAGGGUGACCAGCCACACGGGAACUGAGACACGGUCCAGACUCCUACGGGGGGCAGCAGUGGGGAAUAUUGGACAAUGGGCGCAAGCCUGAGGCAGCCAUGCCGCGUGUCGGAGGAAGGGCUUCGGGUUUUAAAGUACUUUCAGCGGGGAGGCGGUACCCGCAGAAGAAGCACCGGCUAACUCCGUGCCAGCAGCCGCGGUAAUUC